rnacentral:rRNA from 1 species
UACGUAGGGUGCGAGCGUUAUUCGGAAUUACUGGGCGUAAAGCGUGCGCAGGCGGUUUUGUAAGUCGGAUGUGAAAUCCCCGGGCUUAACCUGGGAAUGGCAUUCGGGACUGCAAGGCUGGAGUGCGGCAGAGGAGACUGGAAUUCCUGGUGUAGCAGUGAAAUGCGUAGAUAUCAGGAGGAACACCGAUGGCGAAGGCAGGUCUCUGGGCUGACACUGACGCUCAUGCACGAAAGCGUGGGGAGCAAACAGG